CUCUUUUUCUCCAAUAGAGGCCGGCCACUUAGAGAGGAGAUAGUUAGCAAUCUUUUCUUCUCUAAGUCAUCCAUUUCAUCUUCACACCUUAUCCUUGGUGUGGAGACUUAGAGACACCAAAUCUUUGGUGUUUUGGAGAUCCUUUCCUCACAUCCUCAAGGGGCAAAGGAGCAUCAAAAGGAAGAAAAUCACAAGGAAGAUCCAAGGAGCUAGGAGGUGACUUGAAGGCCCUCCACUUGGGUGAAUCCUUUGUGUAAACAAGGAUGAGCUUCAAGGGUAAUGAAUCUCUAUGUCCUUCAUUCUCUUUAAUGUUGUUAAAGAGUCUCAUGGUUCACCAUUCACUAGGCUUUGAAAGUCGUGGGUUUUAGAAUUGUUUUUGAAUGCAUGCCUACUUUAAUAUGUUAAUAGUUUGCAUUUGUGUUCAAAUAUUCUCACAUGUUCUUAGCUAGGACAAAAUUUUUCCUUCAUGUCUAGGAUCAGCUUGCAUAACUUCAAUCUCCUGAUGCUUUGCUGAUGUGAUGUAGAUGCAAUAUCUCUUGGUGUUGACUUCGUUUAUAUAUCAUAUCUUGGUCGGGUGGAUACAUGCAGCAUAGUCUUCAUGGAUCGUCGUUAGGACUCAACGAUGGAUGAAAACACAGCAAGUACUUCGAACAUACUCAACAAGAACUCCUAACCAUGUCUCACGUGUGGUGUAGUGAAGUGAGGUGAGUCUUGGAACGAUUCGAAGAUUUCGCAACUAAGGUCAUAUCGUGGACCUCCAAGAUAUUGUGAUAUCCCUUAACGGUAAAGACAUAAUCAUUUUGGUAUUUUGCCUUGUGCAGGUUUGACAAGUAACCUGUGUCAGUAUAACAACAAGGUAAACAUCAUUCCUAGGUUCAAGGGCUUGCAUCCGCUCGAGAUGCCUUGGGAUUUGUGUUGAAGUGCCCUUCGAGUGCAAAUCUAAGGAUAGUAUAGCGGCACAAGUAAGGGUGUCGAACCAUAGGGACUGGGAAACAACUUAGUAAAACCUUUAACUCUUACAAAUUAGCAUUAGUUAAAGACUCAUAUGACUUAAAGUGGGGGCUUUGAGUAAUUUUGGAAAAGAAAUAAAGACAGAAAGAAAACUGAAAAAUUAGAACUAUCUAAAAAUAAACCUAAGACAUGGAAUAGGUUAGAAACAUUUUUAGGACGUACAUUUGACUUCAAAUAAACAAAGGCAUUCCCCUAAACAUUCCUAAAUCAGUGAUCUGAUCUUUUAACUUAUUUCUUUCAAAUGCACAACUGAGAUAUUCACAUAUCUAGCAUGGCAUAUAACUAGAUUGUAUGAAUCGUCUCUUUCUUUGCAUGCUACAUGCAUGGCAUAUUCAUAACACUUAUAUUUGUAAGUGCAACCUAGCAUGGCAUAUACUCAGAUUUAGCACCUAGAAACUCAAUAAGAACGAAGAGGAUUAUGAACAACACAUAAAACCUAGAACAUGGCAUUCAUCCUAGAACUUCAUGCAAUCAAUUUACAUGAUUAGUUUUAAACCUAACCACAUGUUGCUAAUGAAUGAAAGAAGAUAUGGCAGUCAUCCUAAUCAUUGUCAACAGAAAGCAAACAUAAACAAGACAGCUAAACUUGAAAAUAUGUGCUUGAAAUCAUUGAAACAGAAAAUUGAUUCUAGCUUGCAAAUGAAAUUGAUAAACUAAAACUGCAUCAUAAGUAUCCAUAAAUUGCUUCAAAGCAGCCCUAAGUAUCCACAAACUAAAUUAAAAACAUAACAACUGCUCUCUCCAGAUUUUGUGUAUUUUUCUCCUCUUCUUUCUCCUUCUGAUUCUGUGUAUUUUUCUCCUAUUAAAAGGCUUAGGAGUUUUUCUAACAUCUUACACAUUUACAUCCUUGAACUGACUCUCAUUUAUACCUCAUUACAAUCAACUUUUUGUAUAGGAGUAACUUAAAACUAGCUAUUAUCAGAAUUUGUAUCUGAACAGCGCCUCUUUAUUCUAUCAUAACUUCUUGUCGAAACCUCCAAAUGACAAGCUGUAAAGACCAUCAGAAAGAUGACUUCCAGGGCUUUCCAACCAUACAUAGCCUAUUUUCUAAUUCAUUUUGAGCACUUCAGGGAAAAGCUUCCAAGUUAGCUGUUCUACAAGGGCCUUUUCUGGCG
rnacentral:lncRNA from 1 species